rnacentral:lncRNA from 1 species
CUUUUUCUCCUCUUGGUUGGCGGUGGUUAAGGCUUAUUAUAGUCACCGGAAUCCACCCCCUCUGGUCAAGCUCCGCUGUUUUCCCACCUUCGGUGAAUCCCCCUUCCUCUGCUUGCUUUUCUUGGUCUUGGAUGCUGCCACCAUGGCAGCAAGGGGUCAACACCCUUUUCCUUCUCCUCUCUCAGUUCCCCGUGCAUGGUCGAACCCAGUCGCCCAGGUCA